rnacentral:rRNA from 1 species
ACGGUCUUGCUGAUACUUAUAGAUGGAUCCGCGCCGCAUUAGCUAGUCGGUAAGGCAACGGCUUACCAAGGCCUCGAUCCAUAGCCGAUCUGAGAGGGUUAUCGGCCACACUGGAACUGAGCCACGGUCCAGAGUCCUACGGUUGUCCGCAGUAGGGAAUCUUCCGCAAUGGGCGCACGCCUGACGGGGCAGCGCCGCGUGAGUUAUGAAGGUCUUCGGAUCGUGAAACUCUGUUCUUUGGGAAGAACAUAGGUGUAAGUAACUGUGCACCUCUUGACGGUGCCUAAUCAGAAAGCCACGGCUAACUCCGUGCCAGCAGCCGCGGUAAU